rnacentral:rRNA from 1 species
AAAGCCCCCUUCGGGGGGCAAGUAGAGUGGCGCACGGGUGAGUAACACGUAGGUAAUCUACCUUUGGAUGGGGAAUAACAACUGGAAACGGUUGCUAAUACCGCAUAAUGCAGCGGCACCUAAUGGUGACAGUUGUUAAAGCGGGGGAUCGCAAGACCUCGCGUCUGAAGAGGAGCCUGCGGCGGAUUAGCUAGUUGGUAGGGUAACGGCUUACCAAGGCGAUGAUCCGUAGCCGGCCUGAGAGGGCGGUCGGCCACACUGACACUGACAUACGGGUCAGACUCCUACGGGAGGCAGCAGUCGGGAAUUUUGGGCAAUGGGCGAAAGCCUGACCCAGCAACGCCGCGUGAAGGAUGAAAUCCUUCGGGAUGUAAACUUCGCAAGAACGGGAAGAAUAAGCCGGUGUCAACACCACCGGUGAUGACGGUACUGUUUGUAAGCUCCGGCUAACUCCGUGCCAGCAGCCGCGGUAAUACGGGGGGAGCAAGCGUUGUUCGGAUUUACUGGGCGUAAAGGGCGCGUAGGCGGCCACCGCAAGUCGACUGUGAAAUCUCCGGGCUUAACUCGGAAAGGUCAGCCGAUACUGCGGGGCUAGAGUGCAGAAGGGGCAACUGGAAUUCUCGGUGUAGCGGUGAAAUGCGUAGAUAUCGAGAGGAACACCUGCGGCGAAGGCGGGUUGCUGGGCUGACACUGACGCUNAGGCGCGAAAGCUAGGGGAGCGAACGGGAUUAGAUACCCCGGUAGUCCUAGCCUUAAACGAUGAAUGCUUGGUGUCUGGGGUUUUAUAGU